AUUGAACGCUGGCGGCAUGCCUUACACAUGCAAGUCGAACGGUAACGCGGGGCAACCUGGCGACGAGUGGCGAACGGGUGAGUAAUGCAUCAGAACGUGCCCAGUAGUGGGGGAUAGCCCGGCGAAAGCCGGAUUAAUACCGCAUACGACCUACGGGUGAAAGCGGGGGACUCGCAAGAGCCUCGCGCUAUUGGAGCGGCCGAUGUCAGAUUAGGUAGUUGGUGGGGGUAAAAGCCUACCAAGCCGACGAUCUGUAGCUGGUCUGAGAGGACGACCAGCCACACUGGGACUGAGACACGGCCCAGACUCCUACGGGAGGCAGCAGUGGGGAAUUUUGGACAAUGGGCGCAAGCCUGAUCCAGCCAUGCCGCGUGCGGGAAGAAGGGCCCUUGGGUUGUAAACCGCUUUGUCA
rnacentral:rRNA from 1 species